AGAGUUUGAUCCUGGCUCAGGACGAACGCUGGGGAAGAGGGGAGAUGCAAGUCGAGCGAGAACCAUGGCUUCGGCCAAGGGGACAGCGGCGAACGGGUGAGUAACACGUGGGUAAUCAACCCCCGACACCGGGAUAGCCCAGGGAAACUUGGAUUAAUACCGGAUGCCCCAUCUGGCUUUCGAGCCGGCUGGAAAAGGGUAGCUUCGGCCUCUGGUCGGGGACGAGCCCGCGGCGGAUUAGCUUGUUGGUGAGGUAACGGCUCACCAAGGCGACGAUCCGUAGCUGGUCUGAGAGGACGAUCAGCCACACUGGGACUGAGACACGGCCCAGACUCCUACGGGAGGCAGCAGUGGGGAAUAUUGCACAAUGGGCGAUUUUUUUGUUGCAGCGACGCCGCGUGAGGGAUGUUUUUUUUUUGGGUUGUAAACCUCUUUCGACAGGGACGAAGCGUGAGUGACGGUACCUGUAGAAGAAGCACCGGCCAACUACGUGCCAGCAGCCGCGGUAAUACGUAGGGUGCGAGCGUUGUCCGGAAUUACUGGGCGUAAAGAGCUUGUAGGCGGUUUGUCGCGUCGAUUGUGAAAACUCACGGCUCAACCGUGAGCUUGCAGUCGAUACGGGCAGACUAGAGUACUUCAGGGGAGACUGGAAUUCCUGGUG
rnacentral:rRNA from 1 species